GCCCCGAACAGGGGGAAGGAGCUGCGGGACGAGGCUGAAGAGCUGCGACGGCUGGACGAGGAGAUGGAAACGAGGCUGCGCAGUGAUGUGCGCAUCCUGAACAAGACCCUCCAGCGCCUGCAGGAGACGAUGCACCAGGUCCCAAUGCUAGUGGACUCUGUGCUGGAGCAGAUGAAACAGGCCGAGGUCUUCCUGGACACGCGUGUGGCCCCCACCAUCCAGAAUGUGAGC